AUAUUUUUCGUCAAUUCAUCAGGGUCACAGAAUAGAAGCACUCAAAUCCAUUGUUCCUACUAAUUUGUACUUUUAGUUACACAUUAUUCAUUAGUUAAUACAAAUUGAUAGUAUUCAUCAACAAUAAAAUACUUUAACAAUCAUAAGAUUUUCAUAUCAAAACAUUGAACUUUGCCAUAUGAACUUACCUGGACUAAUUUGCAAAAGUCGUAGAAAUUCAAGGACUAUUCUUGAAUUUUCUCCUUUCCACGAUUCAGUUCGUUUUCUUGAUCUAUAAUUAUAAAAUCAUUCCUUCAUUAGCAUCCAUUUCAAUUCUAUUUCACUUCACAAUUUAUGCUGUUCAAAUUUCGAAAUUACACUUUUACCCCAAAAUUUACAGUUUUCACAAUUUAGUCCCUGCUCAAUUCACCCAUCAAUUGAACUAAUUUUUCUCAAUUAACACUUUAUUUUAUCAUUAUAAACUAUUUCAAAACAUUUUAUAUUCUUAAUUUCAACAGAAACCUUCAAUUCACAACUUUUUCACAAUUAGGUCCUAAAUAUCAUUUCCUAUCAAAAUCACUUAAUAAAACCACCUUAAUAUGAAAUUAGAACUUAAAUUUCGUAAUAAUUCAUCAUAAAAUUUCCCUAUCCAUCCAGGGUAACUUCCAAUUUCACCCAUAAAAUCAAAAACUAAUGAAUUCUACAAGUGGACCAAAUUGUAAAAGUCAUAAAAACAUAAAAAUUAUCAAGAAAAGUAAGAAUUAAACUCGCAUGAUGUAAAAAUAUGAAAAACCAGCUUUCUCCAGACCUUCUAUGGCGUUUUGGCUGAGAAAAUAUGAAGAAAUGUCUAGAUUUUUCAAUUACAUCAUUAUUUAACUAUUAACUUUUAUGCUAUUUCCAAUUUUGCCCCUUGUUCACAUUGUUUUCGUGCUUAUUUCAUACUCAAACCGUCCAGCCAUUAAACUUUGGGUAUAAUUGCUCCUUAAAUCCAUCUUUUUAAAUACUUAAGCUAUUUACUCACAAUUUAACAAAUUUUGCGCUAUUUUCAAUUUAGUCCUUUUUAAUUAAUUAGCCAUCCAAACGUUAAAAUUUUCUAACGAAACUUUAAUACUAACUCAAUGACACUCCAUAAAUAUUUAUAAAAAUAUUUAUAGCUCGAUUUUCAACUUUGAGGUCUCGAUACCUCAUUUUUGACCCGUUUGACCUAAUAAAUUCUUUUAAUUCACUAAUUUCACCAUUUCACAAAUUCUUCUAAAUUCUUACCUGACUCAUAAAUAUUAAAUUACUAUCUUGUUCAAUCUUAUUUGUCGAAUUUAGUGAUCUCAAAUCACCAUUUCCGACACCACUGAAAAUUAGGCCGUUACAACUCUCCCCCCUUUACAAAUUUCGUCCUCGAAAUUUGUUACCUGAAAACAGAUUUUGGAUACUGUGAUCUCAUUGACUCCUCUGUUUCCCAGGUUGCCUCCUCCAAUCCAUGUCGAUGCCAUAACACUUUUACUAACGGUACUCGUUUAUUCCGUAGUUCUUUAACUUCCCGAACUAGUAUUUUCACUGGUUCUUCUGAAUAAGUCAUAUCUGAUUGUAGCUCUAUCUCAGUAUGAGGAAUCACAUGUGAAGGGUCUGAUCUAUAUCGUCUCAACAUAGAUACAUGGAAUACAUUAUGGAUCUUCUCAAGUUCUGGAGGCAAGGCCAAUCUAUAAGCUACCGGACCGAUCCUCUCAAUGAUUUCGUAUGGUCCGAUAAAUCGUGGACUAAGCUUUCCUUUUCUACCAAACCGUAAAACUUUCUUCCACGGAGAAACUUUCAAGAACACACGAUCACCCACAUUGAACUCUAUAUUUCUUCUUUUCAAAUCUGCAUACGACUUUUGACGAUCGGAAGCAGCUUUCAAACUUUCCGGAAUAAUCUGAACUUUCUCUUCAGUUUCCCGAAUUAAAUCCACUCCGACUAAUUUCGAUUCACUUAAUUCUGACCAAUACAACGGGGUUCUGCACUUCCUUCCAUACAGAGCUUCAAACGGUGCCAUUUUGAUACUAGCUUGAUAACUGUUAUUAUAAGCAAAUUCAGCUAAAGGUAAGUACCUUUCCCAGCUGCCACUGAACUCGAGUAUACAGCACCUUAACAUAUCUUCCAAAAUCUGAAUCACUCGCUCUGAUUGUCCAUCUGUCUAAGGGUGAAAAGCUGUACUAAAUUUUAACUUAGUACCUAAAGCUUCCUGUUGUUUAUUCCAAAAUCUUGAAGUAAACCUCGGAUCUCGAUCAGAAAUAAUUGAUGUUGGCACCCCAUGUAAUCUUACAAUUUCUGACACAUAUAAUCCCGCUAACUUAUCAAGUGAAAAAUCUGUUCUGACUGGAAUAAAAUGCGCCGAUUUAGUGAAUCUAUCUACUUUCACCCAAAUCAAAUCUUUUUUCUUCGGAGUCACUGGCAAUCCCGAUACAAAAUCCAUCGUCACAUGUUCCCACUUCCAUUCUGGAAUCACUACGGGUUGUAACAAACCUGUAGGCACUUGAUGUUCAGCUUUUACCUGUUGACAGAUUAAACAUUUUGCCACAAAUUCACAAAUUUCCCGUUUCAUACCAGGCCACCAAUACAUUUUUUUUCAAAUCACAAUACAUCUUCGUACUACCCGGAUGAAUCGAGUACAUACUACUAUGAGCCUCUGAUAAGAUAUCCUUCUUCAAUUCUAGAUUAUUCGGGACACAAAUUCUAUUACGAUGGUAUAACAUACCACUAUUAUCAAUAGAGUAAUCUAAGUUCAAAUUAUCUCGAACCAUUUGUCGUUUCAACACCAACUUCGGAUCUUCAUCUUGCAAUUCCCGAAUUCGUUGAAAGAAUACUGGUUUUGUCUUUAAUUCAGCUAAUAUUGAACCAUUUUCAUUAACAGACAAAUGAGCAUUUAACACCCGAAGAGCAAAUAAUGAUGAUUUUCGACUAAGUGCAUCUGCCACUACAUUUGCCUUACCCGGAUGAUAAUCAAUGAUAAGAUCGUAAUCUUUCAACAGCUCUAACCAUCGCCUCUGUCUCAAAUUCAGCUCUUUCUGCGACAUUAAAUAUUUCAAACUUUUAUGGUCUGUAUACACAUAACAUUUCUCUCCAUAUAGGUACUGUCUCCAAAUUUUUAAAGCAAAUACUAUGGCAGCUAAUUCAAGAUCAUGUGUAGGGUAGUUCCUCUCAUGUGGUUUCAACUGUCGAGAAGCAUAUGCUACAACUUUUCCUGACUGCAUCAAUACACAACCUAAACCAUUCAGAGACGCAUCACUAUAUACUACAUAUGGCACACCUGAUUCAGGCUGAGUUAACACCGGAGCCUCUAUCAACAUUUUCUUUAAUUGAUCAAAACUUUGUUGGUACUCAUCAGACCAUACAAACUCAACAUUCUUCUGUAAUAAUUUAGUUAUCGGUGAAGCAAUCAGUGAAAAAUCUUUCACAAAUCGACGAUAGUAACCAGCUAAUCCAAGGAAACUUCGCACUUCCGUAACAUUCUUUGGAGUUUUCCAAUUAAUCACCGCUGACACCUUACUCGGAUCUACCCGUAUACCAUCAACUGACACAAUGUGACCCAAGAAUCCCACUUCAUGAAGCCAAAAUUCACAUUUACUAAAUUUUGCAUAUAACUGUUUUUCCCUUAAUAUCUGUAGUACAAUUCUCAAGUGCUGAGCAUGCUCAGAUUCUGUCUUUGAAUAGAUCAGUAUAUCGUCAAUAAACACAACCACAAAUCUAUCCAGGUAAGACUGGAAAAUUCGAUUCAUUAAAUCCAUAAAAGCAGCAGGAGCAUUUGUCAAACCGAAUGGCAUAACUAAGAACUCAUAAUGACCAUACCGAGUUCUAAAAGCUAUUUUCGGUACAUCACAUUCCUUUACCUUUAACUGAUAAUACCCAGAUCUGAGAUCUAUUUUUGAAAACACUGUAGCAUCCUUAAGCUGAUCGAAUAAAUCAUCAAUACGAGGCAAAGGAUAUUUAUUUUUAAUUGUUACCUUAUUCAGCUGCCAGUAAUCUAUGCACAGCCUCAAUGAACCAUCCUUCUUUUUCACAAAUAAGACAGGUGCACCCCAUGGUGACAUACUCGGUCUGAUAAACCCUUUGUCUAACAGUUCUUGCAACUGCGCUUUUGACUCUCUUAAUUCUGCUGGAGCCAUUCUAUACGGUGUCACUGAUAUGGGAGCUGUUCCUGGAAGCACAUCUAUCACGAACUCAACUUCUCUAUCGGGCGGUAAACCUGGUAAUUCUUCAGGAAAUACAUCCAUGAAUUCAUUUACAACAGAUAGUUGCUCUAACUUUGAUUUAGAACUUCGAGUAUCAAGAAUAUAGGCUAAAUAAGCCUCAUUUCCUUUAUGCAACAAUUUCUGAGCAGACAUAAAGGAAAUCAUUCUAACCAUGUCAUCCAAAUUCCCAGACUCAACCAAAACAAUAUCUCCUGUUUGACAUUUCAAGCUAAUUCGUUUUUCUCGACAAUUCACUACCGCGUCAUGUUUCAUUAACCAGUCCAUGCCCAAGAUAAUAUCAAAUUCACGAAAGGGUAGCAGCAUCAAAUCAGCGGGGAAAUCACAGCCCUUAACUUUCAGUGGACAGUUAUGACAUAUUAAAUUAACUACCACACUUUAACCUAACGGAUUUGUAACUUGUACAUCAUAAUCAGUAGGCUCAACAAAUAAAUUCUUUUCAGAUGCUAAUAUAGUGCAAAUAUAUGAAUGAGUAGACCCAGGGUCUAUUAAAGCAUACACAGGAACAUCAUUAAGAUAGAAAGUACCAGCAAUUACAUCUGGAGCUGUUGCUUCUUCUCUCGCUCGAAUGGCAUAAGUACAAGCAGGAGCCCUAACUUCUGAUCGGCUAGCAGUAUCUUUCAUACCCGAACGAGUAGCCCCUGUAGCACUGCUCUGACCAGAGCGUCUUCCUUUUUGAGGAAGAAUUUUCUGUUUCUCCCUCUGUUCCACUUCUUCUACUUGUAAUUGGGGACAAUCACGAAUAAAGUGAUCAGUGGCCCCACAUUUAUAACAAGCCCCUAACUUACUUCUACAUUCACCGGGGUGACUUCUUCCACAAUGUUGACACUUAGGCCUUUGGGUAUUUUGUACACUACCCACACUAACAGCAGGUCUGUCAGAUGCUUUGUAAUCAGAUUGUCUUGGCCUACUUUUUCCUGAUCUUUCCGGUACUGAAAUGGCUCGACUGAAUUCCUCUUUAGAUUUCUUCACUGGUAAAGCCGAAAAUGACUUAGAUGCACUUCUUUUGAAAGAUUCUUUACUUAUUCUAUCUCGUUGCAUCUUUUUAUUAUAUACUUCUUCAAGCUUCUGAGCACGAUUUGAUAAAACAACAAAUUCUCGUAACUCAAUGCCCCCUAUCAUCAUUUUAAUCUCAUCAUUAAGCCAUUCUUAAAAUCUGAUACACAUUUCUUCUUUUGUGGGUACUAUAUCUCGAGCAUAUUUGCUCAGAUAAACUGUAACGCCCCUUACCCGAGACCAAUGCCGGAGUCGAGCACAAGGCACUACUAAACUUAUUUGAGCACUUAACCAAAUUUAGAUAAUUUAUAUCAUACUUUUCAGACAAGCUGUCCAACUGCGUCAUAGUUGCUAAAUAAUUCAUAUCUCGAGUUAUAAAACUCAAAACCAAAAUCCGUAAAUUUUCCCCGAAUUUAUACUCAUAUAUCUACUUACCAAUUUUUUUUAUAAUUUUUGGCUGGUCCAAUUAGUACAGUUUAUUAGUUAAAUCCUCCCCUAUUUCAGGGUUUGGCUACUUUGACCCCUGUGCACUACGAACCAAAUUUCUCUCUGUACAAAAUACAAAUAACCAUGCCGUUUAUUUCUCUUAAAAAUAGUCCCAAUGAGGAAUACAUACAUAUACAGUAUGACUCAUAAUUAUUUUUGUGUAAUUUUUAAUGAUUUUUUAAGAUCAGAAUAGGGGAACUCGAAGUCAUUCAGACUCUGUCUCACCACAAUUUAAAUAUCUCAUAACAUAAAAUCCAAUUGCAUGCACCGUUUCCUCUAUAUGAAACUAGACUCAUUAGGCUUUAAUUUCAUUUUUUCCAGCCCUUAACUCAAUUUCCACAAUUUAUGGUGAAUUUUCAAAGUCAAACUACUGCUACUUACCAAAAACUGUUUUAGUACAAAUAUUGUUAACUAGUUCAUAACAUCUUUACUUCAAUUCAUUCAAACUCUAUACAUGCCAUAUAAAUCUUUAAACAUAAAACAAAAACUACCAGAAUUGAUCUGAAUAGUGUGCCCUGUUGUGUUGAUCCGAUCUACCGACUUCACUUCAAGUCAAUCUACAUAAAAAUAUUAAACACACACAAGUAAUCUUAUUGAAGCUUAGUAAGCUCAUAGGCAUAUAAACACAAAUCAUAUCAAAUAUCGUACACAAUCUUAUAUCUAUUAGUUUAACUAUUUCAUCCUUCAAAUCACAAUUUCAUUAAUAACUCAUUGGAAUAAUUUCCAUAUGGCUACUCACAAUUUAACUCCCUUAGGCCCAUUUCUCAUUUACUUCAUUCUCAAUUUAAGGAACAAUAAGGGAAUUGAGUGCUUCAUUAUCACAUUGCCAUAGUAAACUAUGGACUUUCACAUUGUUACGCAUCACACACCGAAGCCAUAGCCUUGCCAUGGUCUUACACGGUUCACAUAUCAUACCGAAGCCAUAUCCCAGACAUGGUCUUAUACGGAAUCACAUUAUCACAUUAUACCGAUGCCAUAACCCAGCUAUGGUCUUAUACGGAGUCACAUUAUCACAUUGCACCGAUGCCAUAGCCCAGCUACGGUCUUAAACGGGCACACUUAUCACAUAUUUUUCGUUAAUUCAUCAGGGUCACAGAAUAGAAGCACUCAAAUCCAUUGUUCCAACUAAUUUGUACUUUUAGUUACACAUUAUUCAUUAGUUAAUGCAAAUUGAUAGUAUUCAUCAACAAUAAAAUACUUUAACAAUCAUAAUAUUUUCAAAUCAAAACAUUGAACUUUGCCAUAUGAACUUACCUGGACUAAUUUGCAAAAGUCGUAGAAAUUCAGGGACUAUUCUUGAAUUUUCUCCUUUCCACGAUUCAGUUCGUUUUCUUGAUAUGAUGUAAAAAUAUGAAAAACCAGCUUUCUCCAGACCUUCUAUGGCGUUUUGGCUGAGAAAAUAUGAAGAAAUGUCUAGAUUUUUCAGUUACAUCAUUAUUUAACUAUUAACUUUUAUGCUAUUUCCAAUUUUGCCCCUUGUUCACAUUGUUUUCUUGCUUAUUUCAUACCCAAACCGUCCAGCCAUUAACCUUUGGGUCUAAUUGCUCUUUAAAUCCAUAUUUUUAAAUACUUAAGCUAUUUACUCACAAUUUAACAAAUUUUGCGCUAUUUUCAAUUUAGUCCUUUUUAAUUAAUUAGCCAUCCAAACGUUAAAAUUUUCUAACGAAACUUUAAUACUAACUCAAUGACACUCCAUAAAUAUUUAUAAAAAUAUUUAUAGCUCAAUUUUCAACUUUGAGGUCUCGAUACCUCAUUUUUGACCCGUUUGACCUAAUAAAUUCUUUUAAUUCACUAAUUUCACCAUUUCACAAAUUCUUCUAAAUUCUUACUUGACUCAUAAAUAUUAAAUUACUAUCUUGUUCAAUCUUAUUUGUCGAAUUUAGUGAUCUCAAAUCACCAUUUCCGACACCACUGAAAAUUAGGCCGUUACAACUCUCCCCCCUUUAAAAAUUUCGUCCUCGAAAUUUGUUACCUGAAAACAGAUUAGGAUACUGUGAUCUCAUUGACUUCUCUGUUUCCCAGGUUUCCUCCUCCAAUCCAUGUCGAUGCCAUAACACUUUUACUAACGGUACUCGUUUAUUCCGUAGUUCUUUAACUUCCCGAGCUAAUAUUUUCACUGGUUCCUCCGAAUAAGUCAUAUCUGAUUGUAGCUCUAUCUCAGUAUGAGGAAUCACAUGUGAAGGGUCUAAUCUAUAUCGUCUCAACAUAGAUACAUGAAAUACAUUAUGGAUCUUCUCAAGUUCUGGAGGCAAGGCCAAUCUAUAAGCUACCGGACCGAUCCUCUCAAUGAUUUCGUAUGGUCCGAUAAAUCGUGGACUAAGCUUUCCUUUUCUACCAAACCGUAAAACUUUCUUCCACGGAGAAACUUUCAAGAACACACGAUCACCCACAUUGAACUCUAUAUCUCUUCUUUUCAAAUCUGCAUACGACUUUUAACGAUCGGAAGUAGCUUUCAAACUUUCCCGAAUAAUCUGAACUUUCUCUUCAGUUUCCCGAAUUAAAUCCAUUCCGACUAAUUUCGAUUCACUUAAUUCUGACCAAUACAACGGGGAUCUGCACUUCCUUCCAUACAGAGCUUCAAACGGUGCCAUUUUGAUACUAGCUCGAUAACUGUUAUUAUAAGCAAAUUCAGCUAAAGGUAAGUACUUUUCCCAGCUGCCAUUGAACUCGAGUAUACAACACCUUAACAUAUCUUCCAAAAUCUGAAUCACUCGCUCUGAUUGUCCAUCUGUCUGAGGGUGAAAAGCUGUACUAAAUUUUAACUUAGUACCUAAAGCUUCCUGUUGUUUAUUCCAAAAUCUCGAAGUAAACCUCGGAUCUCGAUCAGAAAUAAUGGAUGUCGGCACCCCAUGUAAUCUCACAAUUUCUGACACAUAUAAUUCCGCUAACUUAUCAAGUGAAAAAUCUGUUCUGACCGGAAUAAAAUGCGCUGAUUUAGUGAAUCUGUCUACUAUCACCCAAAUCGAAUCUUUUUUCUUCGGAGUCACUGGCAAUCCAGAUACAAAAUCCAUCGUCACAUGUUCCCACUUCCAUUCUGGAAUCAUUACGGGUUGUAACAAACCUGUAGGCACUUGAUGUUCAGCUUUUACCUGUUGACAGAUUAAACAUUUUGCCACAAAUUCACAAAAUUCCCGUUUCAUACCAGGCCACCAAUACAUUUUUUUUCAAAUCACAAUACAUCUUCGUACUACCCGGAUGAAUCGAGUACAUACUACUAUGAGCCUCUGAUAAGAUAUCCUUCUUCAAUUCUAGAUUAUUCGGGACACAAAUUCUAUUACAAUGGUAUAACAUACCACUAUUAUCAAUAGAGUAAUCUAAGUUCAAAUUAUCCCGAACCAUUUGUCGUUUCAACACCAACUUUGGAUCUUCAUCUUGCAAUUCCUGAAUUCGUUGAAAGAAUACUAGUUUUGUCUUUAAUUCAGCUAAUAUAGAACCAUUUUCAUUAACAGACAAAUGAGCAUUUAACGCCCAAAGAGCAAAUAAUGAUGAUUUCUGACUAAGUGCAUCUGCCACUACAUUUGCCUUACCCGGAUGAUAAUCAAUGAUAAGAUCGUAAUCUUUCAACAGCUCUAACCAUCGCCUCUGUCUCAAAUUUAGCUCUUUCUGCGACAUUAAAUAUUUCAAACUUUUAUGGUCUGUAUACACAUAACAUUUCUCUCCAUAUAGGUAGUGUCUCCAAAUUUUUAAAGCAAAUACUAUGGCAGCUAAUUCAAGAUCAUGUGUAGGGUAGUUCCUCUCAUGUGGUUUCAACUGUCGAGAAGCAUAUGCUACAACUUUUCCUGACUGCAUCAAUACACAACCUAAACCAUUCAGAGACGCAUCACUAUAUACUGCAUAUGGCACACCUGAUUCAGGCUGAGUUAACACCGGAGCCUCUGUCAACAUUUUCUUUAAUUGAUCAAAACUUUGUUGGCACUCAUCAGACCAUACAAACUCAACAUUCUUCUGUAAUAAUUUAGUUAUCGGUGAAGCAAUCAGUGAAAAAUCUUUCAUAAAUCGACGAUAGUAACCAGCUAAUCUAAGGAAACUUCGCACUUCCGUAACAUUCUUUGGAGUUUUCCAAUUAAUCACCGCUGACACCUUACUCGGAUCUACCCGUAUACCAUCAACUGACACAAUGUGACCCAAGAAUCCCACUUCAUGAAGCCAAAAUUCACAUUUACUAAAUUUUGCAUAUAACUGUUUUUCCCUUAAUAUCUGUAGUACAAUUCUCAAGUGCUGAGCAUGCUCGGAUUAUGUCUUUGAAUAGAUCAGUAUAUCGUCAAUAAACACAACCACAAAUCUAUCCAGGUAAGACUGGAAAAUUCGAUUCAUUAAAUCCAUAAAAGCAGCAGGAGCAUUUGUCAAACCGAAUGGCAUAACUAAGAACUCAUAAUGACCAUACCGAGUUCUAAAAGCUGUUUUCGGUACAUCACAUUCCUUUACCUUUAACUGAUAAUACCCAGAUCUGAGAUCUAUUUUUGAAAACACUGUAGCAUCCUUAAGCUGAUCGAAUAAAUCAUCAAUACGAGGCAAAGGAUAUUUAUUUUUAAUUGUUACCUUAUUCAGCUGCCAGUAAUCUAUGCACAGCCUCAAUGAACCAUCCUUCUUUUUCACAAAUAAGACAGGUGCACCCCAUGGUGACAUACUCGGUCUGAUAAACCCUUUGUCUAACAGUUCUUGCAACUGCGCUUUUAACUCUCUUAAUUCUGCUGGAGCCAUUCUAUACGAUGUCACUGAUAUGGGAGCUGUUCCUAGAAGCACAUCUAUCACGAACUCAACUCUCUAUCGGGUGGUAAACCUGGUAAUUCUUCAGGAAAUACAUCCAUGAAUUCAUUUACAACAGAUAGUUGCUCUAACUUUGAUUUAGAACUUCGAGUAUCAAGAAUAUAGGCUAAAUAAGCCUCAUUUCCUUUACGCAACAAUUUCUGAGCAGACAUAAAGGAAAUCAUUCUAACCAUGUCAUCCAAAUUCCCAGACUCAACCAAAAUAAUAUCUCAUGUUUGACAUUUCAAGCUAAUUCGUUUUUCUCGACAAUUCACUACCGCGUCAUGUUUCAUUAACCAGUCCAUGCCCAAGAUAAUAUCAAAUUCACGAAAGGGUAGCAGCAUCAAAUCAGCGGGGAAAUCACAGCCCUUAACUUUCAGUGGACAAUUAUGACAUAUUAAAUUAACUACCACACUUUGACCUAACGGAUUUGUAACUUGUACAUCAUAAUCAGUAGGCUCAACAAAUAAGUUCUUUUCAGAUGCUAACAUAGUGAAAAUAUAUGAAUGAGUAGACCCAGGGUCUAUUAAAGCAUACACAGGAACAUCAUAAAUAUAGAAAGUACCAGCAAUUACAUCUGGAGCUGUUGCUUCUUCUCUCGCUCGAAUGGCAUAAGUACGAGCAAGAGCCCUAACUUCUGAUCGGCUAGCAGUAUCUUUCAUAUCCGAACGAGUAGCCCCUGUAGCACUGCUCUAAUCAGAGCGUCUUCCUUUUUGAGGAAGAAUUUUCUGUUUCUCCCUCUAUUCCACUUCUUCUACUUGUAAUUGGGGACAAUCACGAAUAAAGUGAUCAGUGGCCCCACAUUUAUAACAAGCCCCUAACUUACUUCUACAUUCACCGGGGUGACUUCUUCCACAAUGUUGACACGCCUUUGGGUAUUUUGUACACUACCCACACUAACAGCAGGUCUGUCAGAUGCUUUGUAAUCAGAUUGUCUUGGCCUACUUUUUCCUGAUCUUUCCGGCACUGAAGUGGCUCAACUGAAUUCCUCUUUAGAUUUCUUCACUGGUAAAGCCGAAAAUGACUUAGAUGCACUUCUUUUGAAAGAUUCUUUACUUCUUCUAUCUCGUUGCAUCUUUUUAUUAUAUACUUCUUCAAGCUUUUGAGCACGAUCAGAUAGAACAACAAAUUCUCGUAUCUCAAUGCCCCCUAUCAUCAUUUUAAUCUCAUCAUUAAGCCCUUCUUCAAAUCUGAUACACAUUUCUUCUUCUGUGGGUAUUAUAUCUCGAGCAUAUUUGCUCAGAUAAACAAAUUCUCUUUCAUAUUCAGCCACUGACUUGUUUCCCUGUCGCAAGUCGAGAAAUUCUCUUUUCUUCUUAUCCAGAUAUCUUCUACCGACAUAUUUCUUCUUAAAUUCAUUUUGAAAAAAUUCCCAAGUGAUCUUCUCAGCCGGUACAACAGCUUCUAUUGUUUCCCACCAGUUAUAAGCUUCUUCUUUCAAUAAUGACACGGCACAUAUUAAGUAAUCAUCUGGUGAGCACGCCAUUUGCUUAAAAACCCUCAUUAUACUUUGCAACCAAUAUUCAGCUUUAACGGGGUCAUCAUCUGUUCUUCCCCGAAAUUCUUCAGCCCCAUGUUUUUUGAGCUUUUCAAAUGGAGAACGUUUGCCAGAUUCAGUUGUCGGAGGAGGUGGAGGAGCAACCGGGGGUACUACAGAUGUUGAGAUAGGGGGAGGAGGUUGCGGACUCUGAUUUCUUUCUCGCACAUUCUCAUUAUACCACUGAUUCAUGAAUCCAUAAAUCAUAUUUUUGAGUUCUUGCUCUCGCAUCAAUGAAAUCGGAGCUUCACUACUUGUUCCUUGUUCAGAGGUUUGUACUCUGCUAUUAACUUCUUCUUGCUCAGUUUGUUCUGGUCUAUCUGACAUCUUUUCAAAUCGAAGAUAAUCUAUAAUAAAAACAAGAAUUAGAUCGGAUCAUAUACAGCACACUAUCACAGAUUUAUAUGGCAUGUAAUUCUAGACACUUUUCACAUCAUACAUAUUCCGAGAAUCGGCUAAACCGAAGCUCUGAUACCAAUAAAUGUAACGCCCCUUACCCGAGACCGUUUUCGGAGUCGAGCGCAAGGCACUACUAAACUUAUUUGAGCACUUAACCAAAUUCAGAUAAUUUAUAUCAUACUUUUCAGACAAGCUGUCCAACUGCGUCAUAGUUGCUAAAUAAUUCAUAUCUCGAGUUAUAAAACUCGAAACCCAAAUCCGUAAAUUUUCCCUGAAUUUAUACUCAUAUGUAUACUUACAAAUUUUUUUUUAUAAUUUUUGGUUGGUCCAAUUAGUACAUUUUAUUAGUUAAAUCCUCCCCUAUUUCAGGGUUUGGCUACUUUGACCCCUGUACACUACGAACCAAAUUUCUCUCUGUACAAAAUACAAAUAACCAUGCCGUUUGUUUCUCUUAAAAAUAAACCCAAUGAGGAAUCCAUACAUAUACAGUAUGACUCAUAAUUAUUUUUGUGAAAUUUUUAAUGAUUUUCUAAAAUCAGAACAGGGGAACUCGAAGUCAUUCAGACUCUGUCUCACCACAAUUUAAAUAUCUCAUAACAUAAAAUCCAAUUGCAUGCGCCGUUUCCUCUAUAUGAAACUAGACUCAUUAGGCUUUGAUCUCAUUUUUUUUUCAGCCCUUAACUCAAUUUCCACAAUUUAUGGUGAAUUUUCAAAGUCAAACUACUGCUACUUACCAAAAACUGUUUUAGUACAAAUAUUGUUAACUAGUUCAUAACAUCUUUACUUCAAUUCAUUCAAACUCUAUACAUGCCAUAUAAAUCUUUAAAUAUAAAACAAAAACUACCAGAAUUGAUCUGAAUAGUGUGCCCUGUUGUGUUGAUCCGAUCUACCCACUUCACUUCAAGUCAAUCUACAUAAAAAUAUUAAACACGCACAAGUAAGCUUAUUGAAGCUUAGUAAGCUCAUAGGCAUAUAAACACAAAUCAUAUCAAAUAUCGUACACAAUCAUAUAUCUAUUAGUUUAACUAUUUCAUCCUCCAAAUCACAAUUUCAUUAAUAACUCAUUGGAAUAAUUUCCAUAUGGCUACUCACAAUUUAACUCCCUUAGGCCCAUUUCUCAUUUACUUCAUUGUCAAAUUAGGGAACAAUAAGGGAAUUGAGUGCUUCAUUAUUACAUUGCCAUAGUAAACUAUGGACUUUCACAUUGUUACGCAUCACACACCGAAGCCAUAGCCUUGCCAUGGUCUUACACGGUUCACAUAUCAUACCGAAGCCAUAUCCCAGACAUGGUCUUAUACGGAAUCACAUUAUCACAUUAUAUCGAUGCCAUAGCCCAGCUAUGGUCUUAUACGGAGUCAUAUUAUCACAUUGCACCGAUGCCAUAGCCCAGCUAUGGUCUUAAACGGGCACACUUAUCACAUAUUUUUCGUCAAUUCAUCAGGGUCACAGAAUAGAAGCACUCAAAUCCAUUGUUCCUACUAAUUUGUACUUUUAGUUACACAUUAUUCAUUAGUUAAUACAAAUUGAUAGUAUUCAUCAACAAUAAAAUACUUUAACAAUCAUAAGAUUUUCAUAUCAAAACAUUGAACUUUUCCAUAUGAACUUACCUGGACUAAUUUGCAAAAGUCGUAGAAAUUCAGGGACUAUUCUUGAAUUUUCUCCUUUCCACGAUUCAAUUCGUUUUCUUGAUCUAUAAUUAUAAAAUCAUUCCUUCAUUAGCAUCCAUUUCAAUUCUAUUUCACUUCACAAUUUAUGCUGUUCAAAUUUUGAAAUUACAUUUUUACCCCAAAAUUUACAGUUUUCACAAUUUAGUCCCUGCUCAAUUCACCCAUCAAUUGAACUAAUUUUUCUCAAUUAACACUUUAUUUUAUCAUUAUAAACUAUUUCAAAACCUUUUAUAUUCUUAAUUUCAACAGAAACCUUCAAUUCACAACUUUUUCACAAUUAGGUCCUAAAUAUCAUUUCCUAUCAAAAUCACUUAAUAAAACCACCUUAGUAUGAAAUUAGAACUUAAAUUUCGUAAUAAUUCAUCAUAAAAUUUCCCUAUCCAUCCAGGGUAACUUCCAAUUUCACCCAUAAAAUCAAAAACUAAUGAAUUCUACAAGUGGACCUAAUUGUAAAAGUCAUAAAAAUUAUCAAGAAAAGUAAGAAUUAAACUCACAUGAUGUAAAAAUAUGAAAAACCAGCUUUCUCCAGACCUUCUAUGGCGUUUUGG
rnacentral:lncRNA from 1 species